GCCAGUAUGGCCUAGUGGUUUGAGUGCUGGACUGGGACUCUGGAGACCAGGGUUUGAAUCCCUGCUCAGCCA
rnacentral:tRNA from 1 species